rnacentral:rRNA from 1 species
AUGCCUCCCAUUAUAUCAAAAGAAAUUCAAAACAUGAAAGAAGAAAUAAUAGAGGCACAAGGAACAUAUGAAAAGAGACUACAUCAAAGAGCACACAACCACAAACAUGUAUAUAAAGAGUUACUGGAUUCGAAACAGUGUUUGCAUAUUCAGAAUGUGCUUUCUUGCCCAGUCACAGAAUUAAUGUCAACCAAGCUGCUACAUAAGAAUUCGAUUAAUCCCCAUAGAGCCAGUGCAGGACAAUCACUUCCUGGAGACAAUACAGAUAAAUAUUUUUCUACACAACACAUUUGCCAAGUCAAGAAACCAUGGGAGUUACAGAACCUAGCGGCUAACUGA